CAAUAGCGUAUAUUAAAGUUGUUGCAGUUAAAAAGCUCGUAGUUGGAUUUCGGGGCAGCCUGGCUGGUCCGCCGCAAGGCGAGUACUGGUUAGCCGCCCUUCCUCUCGAAAGCCCCGACUGCUCUUCGUUGCAGUGGUCGGGUAGUUCGGGACGUUUACUUUGAAAAAAUUAGAGUGUUCAAGGCAGGCCUACGCCUGAAUACAUUAGCAUGGAAUAAUGGAAGAGGACCUCGGUCCUAUUUUGUUGGUUUCCAGGGCCGAAGUAAUGAUUAAGAGGGACAGUUGGGGGCAUUCGUAUUUAAUUGUCAGAGGUGAAAUUCUCGGAUUUAUGAAAGACGAACAACUGCGAAAGCAUUUGCCAAGGAUGUUUUCAUUAA
rnacentral:rRNA from 1 species